CGAGAAAUGAUUCCUUAAUGAAUGAGUGACGACAAGUUACAGAAGUGUUUUUAUAAAUACAAGGAACAAAAAUGAACUCGAAUUUAUGAUAGUGCAUGCAUAUUUUGUUAAUAAAAUUGUUUGUAUACUUCGAUAACGUAUUUUGAAAAUUCAUGUUCAAGUGAAAUUUGGAAAUCCCGAAUGGCCGAAUCUUAUGAUCCGUAGGAAUAAGAAGAUUAUAAAUUAAACUUGAAACUUUUUACAGUGACCCGUAUUCAAUUCAAAUUCCCAAAGAAAAGACAAUGAAAUAAAACAUUAAAACAAGAAAAACAUCAAAUGAAACUGCAUGGAUUCACAUAUUUCAUCAAAUGGAACAUGAAAUUAAAACCCAUUAAACGAAGACGCAUUUUACAUGCGUGUGUCAUUUCUAUCGUUGUCUGACAAUCACAUUACUUGACUAGAGGUAGUGUCAAAGGAAGAAGACGAGAGAGGAGGAUAAUAGAUGGCUAAGUAAACAAGCAUUAGCAUCAGCACCACCGGAAUUCCCAUCAGAAUCAUCGGCGGCGGCGGAAGUGGCGGAAGAACGGCAGGAACAACCGCCAAGAGCACCAUCAUCACCAAUCCGAUCAUAAACAUUCCGAUGAUCCUUACUAUAACUUUUGUGAAACUUCUUUUUUUUUGUGAAACUUCUUUUCUUCCUCUAAAUCUUGGCUUUCAAUGUUCCUGCACAUAUAUGUUUGUAUAUUUAUAAUGAAUUCUAUGUGUAAGUAUUUAAUCUGUCCGUAUUGCUUUUAUGUGUGUGAGAGAGAAAGACGUUACAAAAUACAGGUGAAGAUCAUGCACCGAGCAGCAACAUUCGCCAAUUCGUAUCCACCCAAAUAAAAAAAUUUCUUCCACAAAAAAUAAUUUUUUUAAGUUUUC
rnacentral:lncRNA from 1 species